rnacentral:lncRNA from 1 species
AUGAGCUCCGAGCCCGCCCCGCGCCCCCGGGAGGAGAGGGCCGCCCCCACCAGGAAGCCCUCGGGAGCCGCGCGCCCAUCGCACGCGGCUGCGGGGUCGGGGUCGGGGUCGGGGUCGGGGUCGGGGUCGGCGAGCCCCGCCUUGGCGCCACGCGCGACACCGCCCGCGGCCUCAGUUUCCCCGGCGGGAAGCGCUCGCCCCGCCCCCGCCCCGCCUCCCGCUUCCGCCUCCCGGGCCCCGUCCCCGCCCCACGCCCCACCGGAAGCUCCCGGGCCGCGGGGAGGCGAGGCUGGAGGCCCUGCACCCGCGCCCGGCACCCGCGCCCCUGCACCCGCGCCCCCGCCCCGCCCGCCCCGGCCCGCCCCGCCGGACGCCAGCCCCGCUCGCCGGGGCCUCGCCAGGUGCCAGGUGCGCAGCCCGCCCCCACCCCAGCCCUUGCCGCGGGAGGCGGCACCCGGGGGCCCCGGCCCCACCCUCCACCCGCCACGGAGAGGGACGCACCUGCCCCCCUGCUGCCCCCGCUGCACCUGCCGCCCCUGCUGGACCAGCUGCACCUGCUGGACCUGCCGCCCCUGCUGCACCUGCUGCCACUGCUGCCCCUGCCAGCCCUUUUGCCCCUCCUGCACCUGCCGCCCCUGCUCCCCCUGUCACACCUGCCGCACCUGCUGCUCCUGCUGCCCUUAUGCCCCUGCCCCCCCCUGCUGCACCUGCUCCUCUCCUGCACCUGCCCCCCCGCCGCACCUGCUGACCCUGCUGCACCUGCCGCCCCUGCUGCACCUGCCGCCCCUGCUGCACCUGCCGCUCCUCCUGCACCUGCUGCACCUGCUGACCCUCCUGCACCUGCUGACCCUGCUGCCCCUCCUGCACCUGCCGACCCUGCCGCCCCUGCUGCCUCUGUCGCCUCUGUCCCCCCUGCUGCCCCUCCUGCACCUGCUGCCUCCGCUGCACCUGCUGCCCCUCCUGCAUCUGCUGCCACUGCUGCCCCUGCCAGCCCUUUUGCCCCUCCUGCACCUGCUGCCCCUGCUCCCCCUGUCACACCUGCUGCCCCUCCUGCACCUGCUGACCCUGCUGCCCCCACUGCACCUGCCGCCCCUGCUGCACCUGCCGCCCCUCCUGCACCUGCUGCCCCUGCUGCCCCUCCUGCACCUGCUGUCCCUACUGCCCCGCCACACCUGCCUCACCUGCUGCCCCUGCCACCCCUGCUGCCCCUGCCGCCCCUGCCCCCCCUGCCACACCUGCUGCAUUUGCCACCCCUGCUGCAUCUGCCUCACCUGCUGCACCUGCUGCCCCUACUGCACCUGCAUUUGCCACCCCUGCUGCAUCUGCCUCACCUGCUGCACCUGCUGCCCCUACUGCACCUGCUGA